GGUAACACUGAAUGGAGGACCGAACCGACUUACGUUGAAAAGUGAGCGGAUGAACUGAGGGUAGCGGAGAAAUUCCAAUCGAACCUGGAGAUAGCUGGUUCUCUCCGAAAUAGCUUUAGGGCUAGCCUCAAGUGAUGAUUAUUGGAGGUAGAGCACUGUUUGGACGAGGGGCCCCUCUCGGGUUACCGAAUUCAGACAAACUCCGAAUGCCAAUUAAUUUAACUUGGGAGUCAGAACAUGGGUGAUAAGGUCCGUGUUCGAAAGGGAAACAGCCCAGACCACCAGCUAAGGUCCCAAAAUAUAUGUUAAGUGGAAAAGGAUGUGGCGUUGCCCAGACAACUAGGAUGUUGGCUUAGAAGCAGCCAUCAUUUAAAGAGUGCGUAAUAGCUCACUAGUCGAGUGACACUGCGCCGAAAAUGUACCGGGGCUAAACAUAUUACCGAAGCUGUGGAUUGUCCUUUGGACAAUGGUAGGAGAGCGUUCUAAGGGCGUUGAAGCAUGAUCGUAAGGACAUGUGGAGCGCUUAGAAGUGAGAAUGCCGGUGUGAGUAGCGAA
rnacentral:rRNA from 1 species